GUGAACUCGAAGAGUAGGGCGGGACACGUGGUAUCCUGUCUGAAUAUGGGGGGACCAUCCUCCAAGGCUAAAUACUCCUGACUGACCGAUAGUGAACCAGUACCGUGAGGGAAAGGCGAAAAGAACCCCGGCGAGGGGAGUGAAAAAGAACCUGAAACCGUGUACGUACAAGCAGUGGGAGCACCUUCGGGUGUGACUGCGUACCUUUUGUAUAAUGGGUCAGCGACUUAUAUUCUGUAGCAAGGUUAACCGUAUAGGGGAGCCGCAGGGAAACCGAGUCUUAACUGGGCGUUAAGUUGCAGGGUAUAGACCCGAAACCCGGUGAUCUAGCCAUGGGCAGGUUGAAGGUUGGGUAACACUAACUGGAGGACCGAACCGACUAAUGUUGAAAAAUUAGCGGAUGACUUGUGGCUGGGGGUGAAAGGCCAAUCAAACCGGGAGAUAGCUGGUUCUCCCCGAAAGCUAUUUAGGUAGCGCCUCGUGAACUCAUCUUCGGGGGUAGAGCACUGUUUCGGCUAGGGGGUCAUCCCGACUUACCAACCCGAUGCAAACUACGAAUACCGAAGAAUGUUAUCACGGGAGACACACGGCGGGUGCUAACGUCCGUCGUGAAGAGGGAAACAACCCAGACCGCCAGCUAAGGUCCCAAAGUCAUGGUUAAGUGGGAAACGAUGUGGGAAGGCACAGACAGCCAGGAUGUUGGCUUAGAAGCAGCCAUCAUUUAAAGAAAGCGUAAUAGCUCACUGGUCGAGUCGGCCUGCGCGGAAGAUGUAACGGGGCUAAACCAUGCACCGAAGCUGCGGCAGCGACACUAUGUGUUGUUGGGUAGGGGAGCGUUCUGUAAGCCUGCGAAGGUGNUGCUGGAGGUAUCAGAAGUGCGAAUGCUGACAUAAGUAACGAUAAAGCGGGUGAAAAGCCCGCUCGCCGGAAGACCAAGGGUUCCUGUCCAACGUUAAUCGGGGCAGGGUGAGUCGACCCCUAAGGCGAGGCCGAAAGGCGUAGUCGAUGGGAAACAGGUUAAUAUUCCUGUACUUGGUGUUACUGCGAAGGGGGGACGGAGAAGGCUAUGUUAGCCGGGCGACGGUUGUCCCGGUUUAAGCAUGUAGGCUGGUUAUCCAGGCAAAUCCGGAUAAUCAAGGCUGAGGUGUGAUGACGAGGCACUACGGUGCUGAAGUAACAAAUGCCCUGCUUCCAGGAAAAGCCUCUAAGCAUCAGGUAACAUCAAAUCGUACCCCAAACCGACACAGGUGGUCAGGUAGAGAAUACCAAGGCGCUUGAGAGAACUCGGGUGAAGGAACUAGGCAAAAUGGUGCCGUAACUUCGGGAGAAGGCACGCUGGUGUGUAGGUGAAGUCCCUGCGGAUGGAGCUGAGACCAGUCGAAGAUACCAGCUGGCUGCAACUGUUUAUUAAAAACACAGCACUGUGCAAACACGAAAGUGGACGUAUACGGUGUGACGCCUGCCCGGUGCCGGAAGGUUAAUUGAUGGGGUUAUCCGUAAGGAGAAGCUCUUGAUCGAAGCCCCGGUAAACGGCGGCCGUAACUAUAACGGUCCUAAGGUAGCGAAAUUCCUUGUCGGGUAAGUUCCGACCUGCACGAAUGGCGUAAUGAUGGCCAGGCUGUCUCCACCCGAGACUCAGUGAAAUUGAACUCGCUGUGAAGAUGCAGUGUACCCGCGGCAAGACGGAAAGACCCCGUGAACCUUUACUAUAGCUUGACACUGAACAUUGAGCCUUGAUGUGUAGGAUAGGUGGGAGGCUUUGAAGCGUGGACGCCAGUCUGCGUGGAGCCAACCUUGAAAUACCACCCUUUAAUGUUUGAUGUUCUAACGUUGGCCCCUNCGGGGUUGCGGACAGUGUCUGGUGGGUAGUUUGACUGGGGCGGUCUCCUCCCAAAGCGUAACGGAGGAGCACGAAGGUUAGCUAAUCCUGGUCGGACAUCAGGAGGUUAGUGCAAUGGCAUAAGCUAGCUUGACUGCGAGCGUGACGGCGCGAGCAGGUGCGAAAGCAGGUCAUAGUGAUCCGGUGGUUCUGAAUGGAAGGGCCAUCGCUCAACGGAUAAAAGGUACUCCGGGGAUAACAGGCUGAUACCGCCCAAGAGUUCAUAUCGACGGCGGUGUUUGGCACCUCGAUGUCGGCUCAUCACAUCCUGGGGCUGAAGUAGGUCCCAAGGGUAUGGCUGUUCGCCAUUUAAAGUGGUACGCGAGCUGGGUUUAGAACGUCGUGAGACAGUUCGGUCCCUAUCUGCCGUGGGCGCUGGAGAAUUGAGGGGGGCUGCUCCUAGUACGAGAGGACCGGAGUGGACGCAUCACUGGUGUUCGGGUUGUCAUGCCAAUGGCACUGCCCGGUAGCUAAAUGCGGAAGAGAUAAGUGCUGAAAGCAUCUAAGCACGAAACUUGCCCCGAGAUGAGUUCUCCCUGAGACUUUAAGUCUCCUGAAGGAACGUUAAAGACGAUGACGUUGAUAGGCCGGGUGUGUAAGCGCAGCGAUGCGUUGAGCUAACCGGUACUAAUGAACCGUGAGGCUUAACCUU
rnacentral:rRNA from 1 species